rnacentral:rRNA from 1 species
UACGUAGGGGGCAAGCGUUGUCCGGAUUUAUUGGGCGUAAAGAGCGUGUAGGCGCCAGGUAGGUCUGCUGUGAAAACUCGAGGCUCAACCUCGAGACGUCGGUUGAAACCACCUGGCUAGAGUCCGGAAGAGGAGAGUGGAAUUCCUGGUGUAGCGGUGAAAUGCGCAGAUAUCAGGAAGAACACCCGUGGCGAAGGCGGCUCUCUGGGACGGUACUGACGCUGAGACGCGAAAAGCGUGGGGGAGCGAACAGG